ensembl:lncRNA
UGAACAUGCAUUCUCAGAAUAUACAGUACAUAAUAACUGUAUCAUAAAUAUAUUUUUCUCUGUUAUCGCUCUCUUUUUGCAGUAAGAUUUGUGGCAGUAAAGUAUGUGAUCCUCGGCAGGAAUCAUCUCCUCUAACAUAUGGGUGUCUCCUGGUCCAAAAGGCUUCUCUGUGGGCCAGAGUCUGCUAAGCUAUAAAGGAGGUGUUCCGGACUCACUGCUCUCCUACAGGAUGACAGCUGGUGAGGAGCCGGCCUCUCCAAUGAGGAAACCAGCAACAUGCAAGAGAACGGCGGAGCCCGAAGCAGCCCCCAAGAUCCUUUGCAUCACUCCUCGAGCCAAUCAUCUCUGUUUGAGGAUGUCCCAUUCUAACUGACAGUGUCCUCAAUGGCGGGACCCCUGAGGGGGGAGAGGGAGGUACAAGGAGGUGAAAGGACGUGCCAAGGUCAAAUGUGUGUAUGCUCUUAUUUUCUUUCUCUUUUGUAAGAAGAAAACAUGUUCCAACCAGAUGGCAGAGUUGAUCGCAAACGAGAAAGAGAAAAAAGUCUGAUUGUUACUUGUAUCUUAAAGGUCCUAGGGGUCAAAGUUACUGGAUAAUUCAGUGGGAACAUGAAUGGCGUUGACAGGUGUUUACUGAUUAUAAAAAAGCCAGUUAACUGAUGUGUAAAAGGUUUUUUAUACUGUUGAAUUUUGUCUCGCCUCUUUUCUUUCUGUUCUAGCAGCUCCACAAGCACAGCCUAAAACAGCCCUAAAAAAAGCAUCUAUUCUGAGGCAUUUGCCUCGACGUUAGUCAGACUAUUGACGCUUUCCUGUUUGAUGUCUCUCCCAGCAGUAACAUCAAACAAUCAACAAGCAAAACCUCUCUCAGCGAUGACCGAGCAUAAGAAGUAUUUGUUUCAUUUUUCCGAGGCACUGAAGUGCUAAACGUGUUUAAAGAAACCACCACAAUGUGGCUUCCCAGGAGGUAUUUCGAGGCUAAACGAGGUUAAAAGGAAGUUUUGUUAUCUCAGACAAUGUUGCUAUCUGUCUCAAUAAACGAUUUCCCUUUCAGUUUGCA